AGAUUGAACGCUGGCGGCAUGCUUUACACAUGCAAGUCGAACGGUAACAGGCCGCAAGGUGCUGACGAGUGGCGAACGGGUGAGUAAUGCAUCGGAACGUGCCCAGUCGUGGGGGAUAACGCAGCGAAAGCUGUGCUAAUACCGCAUACGAUCUAUGGAUGAAAGCGGGGGACCGAAAGGCCUCGCGCGAUUGGAGCGGCCGAUGUCAGAUUAGCUAGUGGUGGGGUAAAGCCC
rnacentral:rRNA from 1 species